rnacentral:rRNA from 1 species
GCAAGUCGAACGAGAAAGGGACUGCUUGCAGUCCUGAGUAGAGUGGCGCACGGGUGAGUAACACGUAGAUAAUCUACCUUUAAGCCUGGAAUAACUAUUCGAAAGGGUGGCUAAUACCGGAUGAAGUCGGUUGACAUAAGUUGAUUGAUGAAAGAUUGCCUCUUCUUGAAAGCAAUUGUUUGGAGAUGAGUCUGCGGACCAUUAGUUUGUUGGUGGGGUAAAGGCCUACCAAGACUGCGAUGGUUAGCUGGUCUGAGAGGAUGAUC